rnacentral:lncRNA from 1 species
UUAAUCCUUGCAUUUUAAUGUACCAAGACCCUAAAUGAGACCCCCCUCAUUUCGUCUCUCUAGCCUCAGAGACCAAACAAACCCUCCACCAUAAACCACCAUCGACCACCUACCGAAAAUCGCCUCACGGCGGUUUUGGUGGCUUAUGUACAAACCAACUAGAAAACUAGGUUCACCUCGACCUCCCCGUUCUAAAACCCUGAACCUUAUCCUUUGAAUCGCAGCCGAUGUCUUCGAAUCUUCAAUCGAAGAAUUAGUCAAAAACCUCACCUUGUCUAAUUGGUCCUAAAAUUAAUAUCAUACCACCACUAGAACUCCCCCAUCCCACAAACGACCUCAGGCCAGCCACCACCGCUCAGCUUAUCCAACGACCACCUCAUCUCCACAGUCUUCCAUCAAUCCUAAAACCUUUAGCACACGACACCUGGGUGGAACAGCAACCAAAAGAACAGAAAAAAUCGAAACAUAGACGAAGUUGCGCCUAGAGAUACGAUUUUGAGUUCGAGGUUUUUCCGGGUUCUGCGCUCGUUCAUGGUGGCCUAAUUUGCAUCUAAUUUAGAGUCGUCCUUAGCAUUUUUACGGAUUCAAGUUAGAUGUUGGAAAUCUGUUUGUAACCUCAAUCUUCAACAAAUCAAUUGAAAUAUCACUUCAAGGUUAGUUAGAAGAUUCUCUAUAUCUGUUUGAUUUUCCAUGGGUAUAUUGAUUGAAUCUUUCUCUGAAUUUGGUGAAUGAACAUUGUUAAAUUCAAUUACAGUGUUUAUGAGUUAGUAUUGUUAGUCGUUAAACAGGGAAACAUCUUAACCAAGGCCAGUUUGUGACUAUUUAGACAAUCGAUUAGUUCCGUAAAAUUUACUUAUCCGGAAAAUAAUUGUUUUUGUUUAUUUAUCAAAGUUUGUAUUCAGUUUUUUUGGAUAAUCUCGAGCUCAAUACACAUCUGCUAAUGCUCGGAUUCAUGAAUUGUGGUUGUUGGAUUUUUAGUUGUGCUUGGUGCCUUGUUUGCAUUCAUGGUCCAAAGAGGAGGUAUGUAGAGAAAAGGGCCAAAAAUACCCCUAUUGUAUGUUAAAUGGUUUAUAAAAGCCCCCAUUAAUUUAUCCAUCUGAAUACGUACACCACGUUAUUUAUAAUAUCAAAACUACCCCUACGACUAAUGAAAAUCGAGCUGGGCAUCUCAUUAAAUGACUUGGCAUUUUUUCAUUGGUCCACGCGGACCAAUGGGGCUCACAUCUUGUUUGGGUUUGAUUUUACCCAUUAAAAAGAUCUGACCCAAAUUCUUUUAACCAUGGUUAGGUCUUUUAGCCCUUCACCCAUGAUUAAAUACUUACUUUUUACCUUUUAUGUCAUUUGUCUUCCAUUUCUUUAAUCUAAAGCAUCAAUGGCGAUUUUAGGGCUUUCUUAGGGUUCUUUGUCUGGUCCGAUUUGGUGAGCUCAAAACAGGAAGACCUUUGAUUUCCAACUAUAUCUUGCAUUAUUAUUCGAUUAAUGUAAGUAUUUACUCCUUAAAUUUAUUAAAUUGUAGGGUUGGGGAAUAUUUGGGAACUGACAGGUUUAUGGCUGGUGCAUGUGAAGUUAUUAUAUUUUCUGAGUUAUAUUUUUUACCUUUUUAGAAUUUUAUUAUGUUACGUUUGUUUAUGGAGGUCCUUAUCAUAUUGGUCCUACUUAUUAAGGCUAUUGUUUUUGUCGAUUUGUAUAUUUAAUUGAUGGUGGGGUUUCAAAUAUUUGUAUUUUUUACUGUCGCUUUGUAUUAUAAUGCUGAUGUGGUCCCAUUUUGCUCUUGUGGGGUUUCAAAUCUUUGUAUUUUUACUGUCGCUUUGUAUUAUAAUACUAAUGUGGUCCCAUUUUUCCCUUUUUUAUUAUUGUUACAUGUGAUUUUAUUAGAAGGAUGGUGGAUAAAGUGAACUUAUACUUUAAUUAUGGGGGUGUAUGGGUUUCGGAACCUAGGUUGUCUUAUACUAAGAGAGAUGUUCAUGUGUUGAGUGACUAUGACGUAGACCAUCUCUCUUGUAUUGAUUUGUGUAAAGAAUACGCUGAAGUGAUAGGAUUUGUUGAAGUACAACAGCUGAUAUUUCUUGGCCCUUCUGGGCGGUAUUUUUUGGUAGAUGGGGAUGAAGGGGUUAGGAAGAUUCAAGCCUUAUUAAUGAUGGUUUCACUAAUGUACAAUUAUUUGGGGUUGACCUGUUAGAUGAUACUAUUAAUGUUUCUGUAUUUAACCAAAUUGGAGGAGCAGUAGAUACUGUACCUGUUGUUGCAGCUUAGCUUCUGAUUGUGAUAGUACUGAAGAUGAUGAAGACAUUGAAAGUGUUGAUAGUGAUAUGAUAGUGAUGCCCUAGGUUUAUUUGAUAGGCAGAAGUAUGAGGUAACUGACAACCUUGAUAGGUAUAAAACAUUGGAAAAUGGUAUGACUUUCAAAACUCUUAAGGAAGCUAAGGAGGUUAUUGGUUAUUAUGUUGUCUAAUAAGAGGGGACUUCAGGUAGAUAAGAGUUGUACCAAAAGACUUAGAUACAAGUGUCAGAUAGGGUGUCCUUUUAAAUGUCUUAUUUCUAAGGAUGGCAAAGAUCAAGGGGUAAAGAUAAAAACUCGGAGGGAUGAAGAUGAUUGUGGUGAAGUCUUUGAGAAUAGAAGAGCUAUUCAUGCUGCAUUAGCAUAUUAUAGAUAAAACUUGGAGGGAUGAACAUGAUUGCAGUGAAGUGUUUGAGAAUAGAAGAGCUACUCCUGCUACUUUAGCACAUUAUUUUAAGCCAAAGAUUCAAAAUAAUUCUAAGUUUAAGAUUAAAGAGAUGAAGAAUGAUUUAGAGGAUAGAUUUAGUUUGAAUGUGAAUGCCUCAAAGUUAAAAAUGGAUAAGAGAAUGGUUUUAGAAAUUGGAGGGUACUUACUCGGAUGAGUACAAUAAAUUGGAGGCAUAUGCUCAAGAUUAAGAGACACAAACCCUGGUACUGAUGUGGUGAUACAGAUAU